rnacentral:rRNA from 1 species
GACGAACGCUAGCGACAGGCUUAACACAUGCAAGUCGAGGGGCAGCACGGGAGUAGCAAUACAACUGGUGGCGACCGGCGCACGGGUGAGUAACGCGUAUGCAACCUACCUAUCAGAGGGGAAUAACCCGGCGAAAGUCGGACUAAUACCGCAUAAAACAGGGGCACCGCAUGGUGAUAUUUGUUAAAGAAAUUCGCUGAUAGAUGGGCAUGCGUUCCAUUAGGUAGUUGGUGAGGUAACGGCUCACCAAGCCGACGAUGGAUAGGGGAACUGAGAGGUUGGUCCCCCACACUGGUACUGAGACACGGACCAGACUCCUACGGGAGGCAGCAGUGAGGAAUAUUGGUCAAUGGGCGAGAGCCUGAACCAGCCAAGUCGCGUGAAGGAAGAAGGAUCUAUGGUUCGUAAACUUCUUUUGCAGGGGAAUAAAGUGCAGGACGUGUCCUGUUUUGUAUGUACCCUGAGAAUAAGGAUCGGCUAACUCCGUGCCAGCCGCCGCCGUAAUAC